ensembl:lncRNA
UUCGGGCGGUAGCAUGGGGUACUGCAUAUGUUUCAAGCCACCCAGUGGUCGCUUCCACCAUGGUAAGCACAUAACGCUUACCAUUGCGAGAUCUUGGCAGGGUGAUAUGGGGAACGUAGUUCUUCUUCUCUUCCAGACAGGUACCCGGAACUAAAGCAUUUGCUCCUUAGCUCCCAGUACACUGCAUGAUGUUGUGAUGUGGAAUACUGAUAACCAAAAAUCAUAAAACCAUGACAUUCCACCCCUUAUUCUACAUCAUUACAGCAUGCUUAAUAUAUACAAACAGACAUAAUUAUAAUCAAUUAUCCAACACUGAACACAUGUACAUAUACUUGGAAUUACUGAUUCCGCUCUCCCAUCAUCAAAUUCCCUUGUGGCACACAAUGAACAUCCCCAUUUUUCUGCAUCACCCACCAAGUGCACCCAGGUCCCUGGGCAAAAACAGUUCCGUGAAGAGGUUUGCCCUUCCCAGAAGCUGGAAGGACCCAAACUGCUUUUCCCAGCAUGUUCUUUACAUGUACUACAGGGACCUUAUCUCCCUUUACAGUAUGUAGGGAGCUGGCAGGACCAUCACGAUUGAUAGAUCCUCGAGUAUUCACCAACCAGGUGGCUUCGGCCAAAUGCUUCUCCCAGUGCUUAAAUGUUCCGCCACCCAUUGCUUUCAACAUGGUUUUUAACAACCCGUUGUAUCAUUCAAUUUUACCAGAAGCUGGUGCGUGAUAGGGGAUAUGAUAAAUCCACUCAAUGCCAUGAUCUUUGGCCCAAGUAUUUACAAGGGAAUUUUUGCAAUGAGUCCCAUUAUCUGAUUCGACUCUCUCUGGGGUACCAUGUCACCAGAGAACUUGUUCCUCGAGGCCUAAUAUGGUGUUUCGGGCGGUAGCAUGGGGUACUGCAUAUGUUUCAAGCCACCCAGUGGUCGCUUCCACCAUGGUAAGCACAUAACGCUUACCAUUGCGAGAUCUUGGCAGGGUGAUAUGGGGAACGUAGUUCUUCUUCUCUUCCAGACAGGUACCCGGAACUAAAGCAUUUGCUCCUUAGCUCCCAGUACACUGCAUGAUGUUGUGAUGUGGAAUACUGAUAACCAAAAAUCAUAAAACCAUGACAUUCCACCCCUUAUUCUACAUCAUUACAGCAUGCUUAAUAUAUACAAACAGACAUAAUUAUAAUCAAUUAUCCAACACUGAACACAUGUACAUAUACUUGGAAUUACUGAUUCCGCUCUCCCAUCAUCAAAUUCCCUUGUGGCACACAAUGAACAUCCCCAUUUUUCUGCAUCACCCACCAAGUGCACCCAGGUCCCUGGGCAAAAACAGUUCCGUGAAGAGGUUUGCCCUUCCCAGAAGCUGGAAGGACCCAAACUGCUUUUCCCAGCAUGUUCUUUACAUGUACUACAGGGACCUUAUCUCCCUUUACAGUAUGUAGGGAGCUGGCAGGACCAUCACGAUUGAUAGAUCCUCGAGUAUUCACCAACCAGGUGGCUUCGGCCAAAUGCUUCUCCCAGUGCUUAAAUGUUCCGCCACCCAUUGCUUUCAACAUGGUUUUUAACAACCCGUUGUAUCAUUCAAUUUUACCAGAAGCUGGUGCGUGAUAGGGGAUAUGAUAAAUCCACUCAAUGCCAUGAUCUUUGGCCCAAGUAUUUACAAGGGAAUUUUUGCAAUGAGUCCCAUUAUCUGAUUCGACUCUCUCUGGGGUACCAUGUCACCAGAGAACUUGUUCCUCGAGGCCUAAUAUGGUGUUUCGGGCGGUAGCAUGGGGUACUGCAUAUGUUUCAAGCCACCCAGUGGUCGCUUCCACCAUGGUAAGCACAUAACGCUUACCAUUGCGAGAUCUUGGCAGGGUGAUAUGGGGAACGUAGUUCUUCUUCUCUUCCAGACAGGUACCUGGAACUAAAGCAUUUGCUCCUUAGUUCAUAGAAGAUGGAUUAUUGUGGAGAAAGUGAUCGUGCAAUUUUUAUUCUCCCAGAUAUCAGCAUUAGAAAGAAAAAUCACUGAAUAAUGGAGGGUGAUGGAGGCCCAGGCUGGUGUCC